rnacentral:lncRNA from 1 species
GUUUUUUUUUUUUUUUUUUUUUUUUUUUUUUUUUUUUUUUACCCUCUGAUGGGGUUUAUACAUAUUACCCUCGGAUGGGGUUUAUACAUAUGUCUCCGAAAGAUAAUAAAUUACAUCAUUCUGGUAGAAUGUUUAUUCCUUACUUUUGUUUUUCUCUUUCUUUUCUACUUUUCUUUUGUAAUUAUCUCAGUGGGUAGCCAUAUUUUCUGCUUUGCUCUUUUCCACCGCAAAUCUCAUGUUGAAAGGGUAGCCAUGCUUUCUGCUUUGCUCUUUUACUUUGCUUUGCUUUUGCUUUCCACUUUC